rnacentral:rRNA from 1 species
UACAGAGGGUGCAAGCGUUAAUCGGAAUUACUGGGCGUAAAGCGUGCGUAGUCGGUUAUUUAAGUCGGGUGUGAAAGCCCCGGGCUCAACCUGGGAAUUGCGAUGGAGACUGCAAGGCUUGAAUCUGGCAGAGGGGGGUAGAAUUCCACGUGUAGCAGUGAAAUGCGUAGAGAUGUGGAGGAACACCGAUGGCGAAGGCAGCCCCCUGGGUCAAGAUUGACGCUCAUGCACGAAAGCGUGGGGAGCAAACAGG